AUGAACGCUGGCGGCGUGCCUAAUCCAUGCAAGUCGAGCGAACAGACGAGGAGCUUGCUCCUCUGACGUUAGCGGCGGACGGGUGAGUAACACGUGGAUAACCUACCUAUAAGACUGGGAUAACUUCGGGAAACCGGAGCUAAUACCGGAUAAUAUAUUGAACCGCAUGGUUCAAUAGUGAAAGACGGUUUUGCUGUCACUUAUAGAUGGAUCCGCGCCGCAUUAGCUAGUUGGUAAGGUAACGGCUUACCAAGGCGACGAUGCGUAGCCGACCUGAGAGGGUGAUCGGCCACACUGGAACUGAGACACGGUCCAGACUCCUACGGGAGGCAGCAGUAGGGAAUCUUCCGCAAUGGGCGAAAGCUUGACGGAGCAACGCCGCGUGAGUGAUGAAGGUCUUCGGAUCGUAAAACUCUGUUAUUAGGGAAGAACAAAUGUGUAAGUAACUAUGCACGUCUUGACGGUACCUAAUCAGAAAGCCACGGCUAACUACGUG
rnacentral:rRNA from 1 species